UAUUAGGUUUGUGAGAUGCCACAAACGAUGUCGAAGAUGGAGACCAUAUUGUCCUCGACACCAUCCAAUCCCAGUCUUUCCACCAUCAUCCCAGUAUUGUUUGUAUCUUAAGAGAAAUGGACUCAUCCGCUUGUUUCUACUUUGCGUCUUGUGUUUGUAUCUUAAGAGAAAUGGAUUCAUCCGCUUGUUUCUACUUUGCGUCUUGAGGGGAGCAAUGAAAUUGAAAUGAUUUCGUGGGACCGGCAUGCGUUACAACUCCGUUUUCAAACGUGAAUAGGGAAACCAAGGAUUCUGUCGUGCCUUGUUCAAAGACAUUGCCUCAUUCAGAAAGCCCGUUUCUUCGACGUACAUUCUAUUGCUAUUUUAGCGCGGAAACGAUGGUUUUCCGUUCAACCACACACACUCUGUAUCCAGCGGGACGUUCUUUCCUUUUAUUUAUAAUACAAGAUAAAAGUUGGUUAUGAAAGCAUAUCGAUCGGACCCAAAAUUUCGUAACGUGUAUGUGGUUGAGUUCUAUCCGAUCCUGGUUCUUUUCAUUACGACUGGGAAACGAGUCUAGGAAAAGGAGAGCCCUUUUGUCUCAAUGUUUCAUAGCAGUAAGCAGUAAAAUCCUACCCAAAAGCAUAAAGAUAUUCUCCUCUUCCACUGCUUUAUGUUUAUUUAUAUUGGGAUAGUAGUCAAGUUGGAAACCAAGUUAAACAUUUUCCAUUGUUAGAAUCGUGGAUUUUGAAUCUAGCCCGUUGAUUAUUUUAGGUACUCAAGAAAGGCUCAUCGCCAAACAGAUUUCUAUUAACAAUAAAUCUCGACCUCCAACUCUUAUACUUUCCUAUUAUCUACGACCCAUGUCAUUGACAAUCAAGCAGCGUGAACAACUCUAAAGUAUAGACGUGGAAAAAUUCUCUCUUGUCUGCUCUCCCAAAGUUAUACGUACAAGCUUCGAGUUGUUAUGCGACAUCAGUUCCAUUUUACAUCCCCCCAAGCUUUUUAAGUUCUCUUCUUAUAUUCCGCUCUGCUCCCGUAUUUUAAAAUCUUCGGGGAGUAGACGAUGGGGCGCACGGUUGGGUAGACACCCCGGCAUAUAAUAGAGCGCUUUAUCCUUCGUCUACAUCUUUAUGCAUCCGAUAGACAGGAGUGUUCAAUAUGAAUUGCUUACCAAAGUUUUCUUUUUAUCCGUGAUUUCCUUUUUUGUUGAUUCCUAUCUAUUUGCACACACCUCAAGACUUUUGGAAGGCAACAAUAAACGAAAGACAAUUUUAAGAUUGGCCACUUUUGUCAUGCACGUUGUUAUAACGAAUUGGCACUGUAAGGCGGUCACGUGCAAGAGCGAAAACCCUGAUCGCGCACGAACCAAACGAACGAAAGUACAGAGGGAGGGAAGGGGAUUAAGAAAGGGAAAGGUCGUCCUACACAGACGGCAGCACAACACCGACUGUCAUUUCCCCUACGACUGUACUCGAGAGUUGAACUUGCGAAGUAUUUUUCCCGCCCACAGCUCACUCUUCCGCUUUUUUUCUCUCACCAUCGAAAAGGCUAGCCGAGAGUGAUUGCGCGCGCGUGAUAUCUUCGUCGGUUGGCUCGACAUUGACGGCUGCGGGAUCGGGAAAGAAGGGCGAAAAACAAAAACAAAAAAAAGGUUAUGUUAUUAUUUAAUCGCCAGAAAGAGAAAGAUGGGUUUCCUUCUUUAUGUUUGCGCUAAUCAUCCAAAUAGUGCUAGAAAGAUCAAUCAUUCACACCGUACUACAAUCAGCUCGCCUUUAACAGUGGGAGAUUAAACGAUCUUGAUUUUUCUUUCCACCUACGUGCAGCUAUGACCUUUGAGGCGAAGGUCAGUUUUUUCAAAACGAAUUACGUUAUAGCCAUUGAUAGUAAACGAAAAACAGGUUGAUGAAAGUACUGACAUUAUGAGAUUAACCGUUCCCAAGGAUCUCUCGUAGUUCCCGAUCAAACGAUUUAUUUCUAAGCAAAGCGAAACUCUUUAUUUUUUGCUCUAUGCUAUUUUGCUAGUAUUCACGACAGACACAAGAAAAAAGAAGCGGAGGAAACAAGCUCCUUGGCAUCAGAUCAAUCUUUUUUCAUCCUUUUUUUUGGCGAGAUUCUUCUUCAUCUUGUCUUCUAUUUUGGAUACUUAUUUUGUUUUAGUUUCCAAUAUUUUUUGCGCUCCUUUCCUCUAUGAUCCAAAAUGAAUAUCUAUUUGCAGAAGCGUCUCUCCUUUUUCAACUUUAGCCACUCUCAUUUUUUUUUUUUUUUUAGGCUGUCCAUAUUGCUUAUGUUGAUGUAUGUAGUAUCGCCAAAGGCCGACAUAUUCUUAUCCUUCCUGACAAAAAGGCAAACAAACAUCGCCAAAUAAAAAGACAACGAAGAAAAUAAUAAUAAAAAAAAGAAUUUCGGUAACAUAUGGCGCCGAAGGAUUGGGCGCAACUGUCACGUUUGAUCGAUAUGCGAGGCAUAGACGAAUCGAAAACCACACUCAAGUUUUAAAAGGCAACUCGGUCUACUCAAGCGACAAAAACAAGUCAUUCCACCGAGCUCGUGCAAGGUUGUUGAAAGUUUGACAGCGGGAGCACUACGGGAUACCAGCUGGUCUGUUUGCAGACAACAACAGUCACACACAUGACCUCAUUGCCUCUUCUUCGCAUCGGCCCCAUUAUUAACAUAGAGCACCAAAAUACUCUCAUUUUGGUGGCCAAAGGGACCUGGCACCCACUCUACUACCAACCCUACAGUCAAACUUGGCCUAGCCUUGGAUAGGCGUUGUAAUCCACUAGAUUGAUUGCCAAGUUUUUUUUUUUUUCUUUUUUCGGUCGUCACUGGACCAUAUUUGAAGAAGUUUCGGCAUUGUGACGCAGCUCUUAUAGGUUCACUUUGCAAGAAGAAGCGGAAGAACGUCAUCGUCGCUCAUCGGCAAAACAAAAGGAAGAAAAUGGUUAAAUGAAGGAAGAAGGCAAAGAAAGGGGAUCGAAUCAUUAAUGAGGGAAUUUUUGUAGUCUGCAAAAGUUGCGUGACGGCUCCCUUUUUCCGGUUCUCUAGUCACGUUUCUUUUCCCUUUGCAUUCUCAAUCCGGAUGCCGACACCACAUGAUAAAUAUGCUGGGCAUCGUCAAUUCAACAGAAAUGUGAAAGGUUGAGACCAAAAUGCGUCAUUCAGCGAUAAAGAAUACUUUCAAAGUCGAUCGUCACCUACCAUAUUUUCUCCAACUGACGGCCGGGCGGGAUACAAAAAUCAAGCAGACUCGCUAAUCAACAUUCAGUUUGCAAACAGAAGGGGGAACUUCAAAAUCUAUUUUCUAAUUGGAUUUAUUUUGACUUUUCCGGUGUUUUCUCAUAUACCUUUUCAUGGUUGUACCUUCUUCACUUUGUGCAAUUGUAGUAAUCCAAUCUUUCCGUCUCAUCAAAUUAGCUGAAAACAUUUCCCCGGAAGCACUAUACUAGCACGUCGCAUUGAUUAUACCUGCGAACAAUUCUCACGUAAUUGUGUCAUGAAACCAACCGUUUAGCACAUUACCACUAAUGACGCCACGGCAGUUUUGGCACGAUUCUGCCGCCUUCAAAAGUGAAAAGAAUCAUCACCUAAAACCAAACAAACAAAAAAUGUAAACAGCAAUUCAACGUGAAACGAAAGGAAAUGUUUUCUAAAAUAUCAAAAUAACCUAAGAUUCUUAUUGUAUUGUCUUUCAUUGGUUUCCUGUACAAAAUUCCGUUUUUGGACCUAAAAAGGAUCUAAUAGAGCAACACAACGACGAUGGACGAUAA